UACGUAGGGUGCAGGCGUUAAUCGGAAUUACUGGGCGUAAAGCGUGCGCAGGCGGUUUGCUAAGACAGGUGUGAAAUCCCCGGGCUUAACCUGGGAACUGCGCUUGUAACUGGCAAGCUAGAGUGUGGCAGAGGGGGGUGGAAGUUCCACGUGUAGCAGUGAAAUGCGUAGAGAUGUGGAGGAACACCGAUGGCGAAGGCAGCCCCCUGGGCUAACACUGGACGCUCAUGCACGAAAGCGUGGGGAGCAAACAGG
rnacentral:rRNA from 1 species